AGCUGUGUGAAGGACAUUCAUUUUACAAUAAGAUAAGCACAGAGUUCAAUAGAGUAGUCACCACCGAUCAACUGCAGUCAUUCUUGGAUGGACUAGAUGCCUUGGUGUCUUUUAGAGCUGUACAAAGCAGCUGUAUCAUCAAGCAGGAGGUUGAGCCUUAGCAGUGUUAUACAGUGCCUUGAUAAGGAGGACACAAAUCGGAACAGAAGAAAAGCUGCCUUACUUGGCCUUCCACGCUUCCUUU